GUGGCGAACGGGUGAGUAACGCGUGGGUGACCUGCCCCGAAGUGCGGGAUAACAGUUCGAAAGGGCUGCUAAUACCGGAUGUGGUUAUAGGGUUUAGAAGCUUAUAACUAAAGGCGAAAGCCGCUUUGGGAGGGGCCUGCGUUCCAUCAGCUAGUUGGUGAGGUAAUGGCCCACCAAGGCGACGACGGAUAGGGGACCUGAGAGGGUGGCCCCCCACACUGGCACUGAAACACGGGCCAGACACCUACGGGUGGCAGCAGUAGGGAAUAUUGCACAAUGGGCGAAAGCCUGAUGCAGCAACGCCGCGUGCGCGAUGAAGGCCUUCGGGUCGUAAAGCGCUUUUCGGGGAGAUGAGGAAGGACAGUAUCCCCAGAAUAAGGCUCGGCUAACUACGUGCCAGCAGCCGCGGUAAAACGUAGGAGCCUAGCGUUAUCCGAAUUCACUGGGCGUAAAGCGCGUGCAGGCGGCCAGAUAAGUUGGAUGUGAAAUCUCCCGGCUCAACUGGGAGAGGCCGUUCAAAACUAUCUAGCUCGAGGGCGAUAGAGGGAGGUGGAAUUCCCGGUGUAGUGGUGAAAUGCGUAGAUAUCGGGAGGAACACCAGUGGCGAAAGCGGCCUCCUGGAUCGUACCUGACGCUGAGAUGCGAAAGCUAGGGGAGCAAACGGGAUUAGAAACCCCGGUAGUCCUAGCUGUAAACGAUGUAGACUGGGUGUGGGAGGGGUAAAAGCCUUCUGUGCCGAAGC
rnacentral:rRNA from 1 species